GAUGAACGCUGGCGGCGUGCCUAAUACAUGCAAGUCGAGCGAACGGACGAGAAGCUUGCUUCUCUGAUGUUAGCGGCGGACGGGUGAGUAACACGUGGAUAACCUACCUAUAAGACUGGGAUAACUUCGGGAAACCGGAGCUAAUACCGGAUAAUAUUUUGAACCGCAUGGUUCAAAAGUGAAAGACGGUCUUGCUGUCACUUAUAGAUGGAUCCGCGCUGCAUUAGCUAGUUGGUAAGGUAACGGCUUACCAAGGCAACGAUGCAUAGCCGACCUGAGAGGGUGAUCGGCCACACUGGAACUGAGACACGGUCCAGACUCCUACGGGAGGCAGCAGUAGGGAAUCUUCCGCAAUGGGCGAAAGCCUGACGGAGCAACGCCGCGUGAGUGAUGAAGGUCUGCGGAUCGUAAAACUCUGUUAUUAGGGAAGAACAUAUGUGUAAGUAACUGUGCACAUCUUGACGGUACCUAAUCAGAAAGCCACGGCUAACUACGUG
rnacentral:rRNA from 1 species